UACGUAGGGCGCAAGCGUUGUCCGGAAUUAUUGGGCGUAAAGAGCUCGUAGGCGGUUUGUCGCGUCUGCUGUGAAAACCUAAGGCUCAACCUUGGGCUUGCAGUGGGUACGGGCAGACUAGAGUGCGGUAGGGGUGACUGGAAUUCCUGGUGUAGCGGUGGAAUGCGCAGAUAUCAGGAGGAACACCCGAUGGCGAAAGGCAGGUCACGUGGGGCCGCAA
rnacentral:rRNA from 1 species